CGCCAUCCGGCAAUCGGGUCGGAUGAAGGACCAAUCGGGGUCAACAGA
rnacentral:ncRNA from 1 species